rnacentral:rRNA from 1 species
ACCCAAUAGAUACCCGGGUAGUCCAUGCCGUAAACGUUGUGCGCUAGGUGUAGGAGGUAUCGACCCCUUCUGUGCCGCAGCUAAACGCAUUAAGCGCACCGCCUGGGGAGUACGGUCGCAAGACUGAAACUCAAAGGAAUUGACGGGGGCCCGCACAAGCGGUGGAGCAUGUGGUUUAAUUCGAGGCAACGCGAAGAACCUUACCCAGGCUUGACAUCCCAAGACCGCCUAUGAAAGUAGGUUUUCCCUUCGGGGACUUGGAGACAGGUGUUGCAUGGCUGUCGUCAGCUCGUGUCGUGAGAUGUUGGGUUAAGUCCCGCAACGAGCGCAACCCUUGUCCUUAGUUACCAGCGGGUUAUGCCGGGCACUCUGAGGAGACUGCCGAUGAUAAGUCGGAGGAAGGUGGGGACGACGUCAAGUCAUCACGGCCCUUACGCCUGGGGCUACACACGUGCUACAAUGGUCGGUACAGAGGGACGCAAGAUCGCGAGAUGGAGCCAAUCCCAAAAAGCCGGCCUCAGUUCGGAUUGCAGUCUGCAACUC